rnacentral:rRNA from 1 species
UACGAAGGGGGGCUAGCGUUGCUCGGAAUCACUGGGCGUAAAGCGCACGUAGGCGGUUUGCUAAGUCAGGGGUGAAAUCCUGGAGCUCAACUCCAGAACUGCCUUUGAUACUGGCGAUCUCGAGUUCGGGAGAGGUGAGUGGAACUGCGAGUGUAGAGGUGAAAUUCGUAGAUAUUCGCAAGAACACCAGUGGCGAAGGCGGCUCACUGGCCCCGAUACUGACGCUGAGGUGCGAAAGCGUGGGGAGCAAACAGGG